rnacentral:rRNA from 2 species
GGGGAGCAAACAGGAUUAGAUACCCUGGUAGUCCACGCCGUAAACGAUGUCGACUUGGAGGUUGUUCCCUUGAGGAGUGGCUUCCGGAGCUAACGCGUUAAGUCGACCGCCUGGGGAGUACGGCCGCAAGGUUAAAACUCAAAUGAAUUGACGGGGGCCCGCACAAGCGGUGGAGCAUGUGGUUUAAUUCGAUGCAACGCGAAGAACCUUACCUACUCUUGACAUCCAGAGAACUUUCCAGAGAUGGAUUGGUGCCUUCGGGAACUCUGAGACAGGUGCUGCAUGGCUGUCGUCAGCUCGUGUUGUGAAAUGUUGGGUUAAGUCCCGCAACGAGCGCAACCCUUAUCCUUUGUUGCCAGCGAUUCGGUCGGGAACUCAAAGGAGACUGCCGGUGAUAAACCGGAGGAAGGUGGGGAUGACGUCAAGUCAUCAUGGCCCUUACGAGUAGGGCUACACACGUGCUACAAUGGCGCAUACAAAGAGAAGCGACCUCGCGAGAGCAAGCGGACCUCACAAAGUGCGUCGUAGUCCGGAUCGGAGUCUGCAACUCGACUCCGUGAAGUCGGAAUCGCUAGUAAUCGUGGAUCAGAAUGCCACGGUGAAUACGUUCCCGGGCCUUGUACACACCGCCCGUCACACCAUGGGAGUGGGUUGCAAAAGAAGUAGGUAGCUUAACCUCGGGA